CCUACGGGAGGCAGCAGUGAGGAAUAUUGGUCAAUGGACGCAAGUCUGAACCAGCCAUGCCGCGUGCAGGAAGACGGCUCUAUGAGUUGUAAACUGCUUUUGUACGAGGGUAAACGCAGAUACGCGUAUCUGUCUGAAAGUAUCGUACGAAUAAGGAUCGGCUAACUCCGUGCCAGCAGCCGCGGUAAUACGGAGGAUUCAAGCGUUAUCCGGAUUUAUUGGGUUUAAAGGGUGCGUAGGCGGUCGGAUAAGUUAGAGGUGAAAUCCCGAGGCUCAACUGCGGAAUUGCCUCUGAUACUGGUCGGCUAGAGAGUAGUUGCGGUAGGCGGAAUGUAUGGUGUAGCGGUGAAAUGCUUAGAGAUCAUACAGAACACCGAUUGCGAAGGCAGCUUACCAAGCUACUUCUGACGUUGAGGCACGAAAGCGUGGGUAGCAAACAGGAUUAGAUACCCUAGUAGUC
rnacentral:rRNA from 1 species